CAUAGAGACAAAUGAGACCAAGACCCACCUCAUGUAGUGAAACUCCAGAGCCAGAUCGUUCCAGUGCUUCUCAUCUGGAGGGACAACGGACUUGAGGGCACAAGGAAAGUGACCUCCCCAGUUGUCACACAGCUGUACCAGCUUUCCUGCAUACCAACCUGCCGCAAGGAGGCUGCAAACGCCUCAUGAGAACUGUUGAGCCGAGUUCGGAAUUGGCUGCAGAUGCUCUUGGCCAGCUUGGAGGCACUGAGGCUCUCAAUGGCUUCCUGGGCCACCUUCCUCUUCCACUCCAGUGUGAUGGCAGCAUCCUUGUAACAGAGGACCCCGAGUGAAAUGUGACUUCCACGUGAUAGGCGGCAUUCAAGAUCUGAAGGAAAAUACACAUGAGGGAGGACAGCCUGAGGACAACAGUUAUUUAAAACAACUCAACCAAUCAUAUUCACUUCAAGAACACAGUUCCGGUCUCAAGGGUUCAACUUUUAUCUCUCACUGUACACCCAGAGUGAACUCAAGGUGAUCAUCUCUUUUGUAAUUAUCUAGAUCCUUUUACUUCAUCUUCAUGUG